rnacentral:ncRNA from 1 species
UGGUAGAGGUCGCGCGAAUCAAGAGUAGCAUGCCGGAUGUUGCAGGAACAGUUGAGGGUAUGAGAAAGGGAGAGCGCCGAAGAAUGCAUAUCUGCAAGUGCAGUUCUGGGCAUAGGUCGAAUAGGUCUAUGACUGUCAUCGAAAGAUGGGGAGCUAUC